GAUGAACGCUAGCUACAGGCUUAACACAUGCAAGUCGAGGGGUAACGAGAGGAAAGCUUGCUUUCCUUGUCGACGACCGGCGCACGGGUGAGUAACGCGUAUCCAACCUGCCCCCAACUAGGGAAUAACCUUGCGAAAGUAAGACUAAUACCCUAUAAUUUCCUCAGAUGUCAUCUGACGAGGAAUAAAGAUUUAUCGGUUGAGGAUGGGGAUGCGUCUGAUUAGCUUGUUGGCGGGGUAACGGCCCACCAAGGCAACGAUCAGUAGGGGUUCUGAGAGGAAGGUCCCCCACAUUGGAACUGAGACACGGUCCAAACUCCUACGGGAGGCAGCAGUGAGGAAUAUUGGUCAAUGGGCGGAAGCCUGAACCAGCCAAGUAGCGUGCAGGAUGACGGCCCUAUGGGUUGUAAACUGCUUUUAUACAGGAAUAAAGUUAGCCACGUGUGGUUAUUUGUAGGUACUGUAUGAAUAAGGACCGGCUAAUUCCGUGCCAGCCGCCGCAGUAAGAC
rnacentral:rRNA from 1 species